UGGGGAAUUUUGGACAAUGGGCGAAAGCCUGAUCCAGCAAUGCCGCGUGUGUGAAGAAGGCCUUCGGGUUGUAAAGCACUUUUGUCCGGAAAGAAAUCCUUGGCUCUAAUACAGUCGGGGGAUGACGGUACCGGAAGAAUAAGCACCGGCUAACUACGUGCCAGCAGCCGCGGUAAUACGUAGGGUGCAAGCGUUAAUCGGAAUUACUGGGCGUAAAGCGUGCGCAGGCGGUUUGCUAAGACCGAUGUGAAAUCCCCGGGCUCAACCUGGGAACUGCAUUGGUGACUGGCAGGCUAGAGUAUGGCAGAGGGGGGUAGAAUUCCACGUGUAGCAGUGAAAUGCGUAGAGAUGUGGAGGAAUACCGAUGGCGAAGGCAGCCCCCUGGGCCAAUACUGACGCUCAUGCACGAAAGCGUGGGGAGCAAACAGGAUUAGAUACCCUGGUAGUCCACGCCCUAAACGAUGUCAACUAGUUGUUGGGGAUUCAUUUCCUUAGUAACGUAGCUAACGCGUGAAGUUGACCGCCUGGGGAGUAGGUCGCAAGAUUAAAACUUAAAUGAAUUGAC
rnacentral:rRNA from 1 species